AUAGAUAGCAUAUAUAGUAGAAAAUGUUACCUUUUCCCUCCCUUCACCCACAUUCUCAGCGAUUUUUAAAAAAGGUUUGGGCUUCCAGUUUAAGACGGCAGCGUGGAAGCACGUGGACCCUCCCCUCCUGUGAGAGCACCAACGCUGCAGCCAGCUGCUGAAGAACCGUCGACAAGAGAAUGCCGGAACCCACCCACAGCAGACACCCCACACCCAGGACGCAGCAAGACCCAGUUUUUCCCAUCAGGAAGCUCUUAGCCUCUUGGCCUCCUCCAUCAGAGGGCAGACAGAAGAAGCAAGAAGAAGUACAAUCCCACAGUGGCUAAAAUAAAACCACAUUAGAGAGCAUUCUUUACGAUGCAAAAGCAGACAGUCACGUACCAGAUGAAGGGACAAGGUAAAACCCCCCAAAACAACUAAAUGAAGUGGAGAUAAGCAACCUUCCAGAAAAAGAAUUCAGAACAACGAUAGCGAAGGAUCUGGGGAAAACAAUGGAGAAGAUGCAAGAAAUGUGUACCAAAAGCUUAGGAGAACUAAAGAACAAACGAACAGAGAUGAAUAGUACACUAGAAGGAAUCAGCAGCAGAAUAACGGAGGCCAGAGAACAGAUCAGUGACCCGGAGGACAGAGCGGUGGAAAUCCCUGCCACAGAGCGAAAUACAGAAAAAAGAACAAAAAGAAAUGAAAGCAGCCUAAGACCAAGAGAGACCUCUGGGCCAACAUUAAAUGCACUGGUAUUCACAAAAGGGUCUCAGAGGAGAAGAAGGAAGGACCUGAGGAAAUCUUUGAAGAGGUAAGAGCUGAAAACGUCCCUAACGUCGGAAAGGAAAUAGUCACCCAAGUCCAGGAAGCAGAGAGAGCCCCACGCAGGAUAAACCCAAGGAGGAACACACCGAGACCCACAGUAAUCAAAGUGACAAAAAUUAAAGACAAAGGAAAUAAAACUAAAAGCAACAAAGCGAAACGGACCGAUGACAUACAAGGGAACUCCCGUCAGGCCAUCAGCUGAUUCCUCAACAGAAACUCUACAAGUCAGAAGGAAACGGCAUGAUAGAUCUAAAGUGAUGAAAGGGAAAAACCUGCAAUCAAGAAUACUCAACCCAGCAAGACUCUUUCAGAUUCAAUGGAGAAAUCAAAAAACUUUCCAGACAAGCAAAAGUUAAAAGAAUUCAGCACCACCAAACCAGCUUUACAACAAAUACUAAAGGAACUUCUCUAGGCAGGAAACACAAGAGAAGGAAAAGACCUACAGAAAAAACCCA
ensembl:lncRNA